AUGACAUGAUCUUUUCAUUCAGCAGUUAUUUCUGUUGUUUGGUCAUUUUGUUUAAUCUCUUAGAGGAACAAGGAAAGGGGAAUAAUCCUCCUCUGAAAAAUAAUGCUCUUAACACAUCUGUUUGCCAAUAAUAAAUUCAGCUUAGCAUAUGCAGUGAUCGACAGAAAAAAAAACUUUAUCGAGUGGGCAAAGGCAACAGCAAAGAAACACCAGGAUCAGUCUCAAGUAGCAGUAGCAGGUGUUCUGUCUCUUUGCCCUAAGGGUUUUGUCUUGCCUGAUAUCCUUGUAGCUUUACGUUGUAUAGUUAACUCAUUUUUUUCUUAUGCCUAUAAUACAUUAUAAUAUAUAAGUUCAUCAGUGGUGAUUUUGGAAUUUUAACACUUAACACUUACCUGUUUAAAUUGUUUCCUCUCCUUCUGAGCUGUUCAUUCACCUACCUUAUUUAUUAUUGGAUAAUAUAUACCUAUACACAGAAUUCUUAGCAAAUCCACCACCUUAGAAGUUCAAAAAGCAACUGAGUUAAUUCCUUCUUCAUAACAAAUAAUGCAGCAUGUUAUUUUUAUGUACCAUUAGGAAAAAAAAUGAUAGAGGAAAUGAACCAGGGGAACAGAAAAACAAAAUCAGAAAUGAAAUCCUGGUUUCUAAUGCAGAAGUGUAAUGCCAAGAAACUGCUCCAGAGAAACCAACUAACUGCCAGCUUUUCUACCUUUUGCCAAGAAAACAUUGCUAUGUUCACUGAUCCUGUAGGAUCAGUGAACUGAGUAUAUUCUGAAACAACUCUUUCUGAUUUGUGCCAUUUUCUGUGAAAGGGGAGGGAGCUUUAUUCUUAUAAUACACCAAUAAAGAGAUGGUUUUGCUCAAAAAAGUAGAUAGAAGGGCAAUCUUGGUUUAAUCAUGUGCAUGCAUCCUUUAAAGAAAAACAACAAGCAAAACCCACACAAUUGGAAAGAGAAUUCUUGUUGCCUACAGACCGUUGGUGGGAAGCACAGGGCUAUAAUUUGCAAUUUGCAUCCCUGAAAUGACUGAUGUGGAGGGCAAAAAGUCUUAAUGGUUGUUUUUUAAUGCCUUAUACUAUAUUAUCAGACUGCACUCUUGCUGACUCUGGUUGUUUUCUUUAACAAAAUUUAAAAUGAAUCCUUAAUUCUAGUGUUUUGUAAUAUUUUCUUGCAAGGAUUUUUAAUUUGUCAUUACAAUUACCCAUGCUAGUCAAGAUAUUUGCAUUAGCUGUACACCAAUAAAACAUCAGCUCUGUAUUUCUCCUCCCACAUUUUAUCUUGUUCAACCCUCAGUCACCAAGAUUUAGUAUGAGCUGACUAUUUCAUUCAUUCACUUCCACUUUGGCAUUUUCUUGUAAAGCUUUACUUUACUUAGGAUUGCUUUUCUCCAUUCCCCAAACUUUUUGCAUUUCAUAGGUUAAUGAAGCACUGGCUUUACUUCCUUAACUCAUUGUUUGUGAUGUGGCUGGCUGUGCUAGGCAGACAGUGGCCCCUUCAGACAUGAGGCCUAAUAGUGCUUAGGAUAUCAUGAAAAGUCUGGAUCACCUAAUAAAAGUGCAAGAGAGCACUUGUUUCCAAGACAGUUUCCAAUUUUUGGCAGAGGGAAUUUGGAAUCCCCAUGGAGGACACCUAAGCUUCCCUUUUACUCUCAAUAGCUCCCUUCUGCAUGCAUCCUAAAUACCUUCCUAUCAAACCAAUCAAAGUAGAAACAUCACUGUCAAGUCUUACAGUCUCUCUGAACUCCAUUCAACUCAUCCUUACGCUCAGAGCUCACCAAAUUAAAUCUACACCAACUUCAACUGCCCUCACUCUUCUGUAGCAAGCUCUGUAAUAGCAUGGGCUUGUCAGCACUGGGAGCCCCAGCCAGCUGGUUGCCUCCACUGUCCAGCUGCAGCACAAACAAGUAUCCAGAGAAUGAAGGAAUACAAACUAAAAAUUAUAUUUUUUUUCUUCACUGCUGCAUCAUGUAGCAUGGGUUUUGUAGCAUUAUAUUGAGCCAAACACCAAGAAAAUUUAUCUUAGCACGUUAUUGAGAUGUCAUUAGCACGCUUGUAUUGCAUUUUGCUUUGCUUUUAGCCAAGUGCAAACACUUAAAACAAACAAACAACAACAACAACAACAAAAAAACAGGUGCCUUUUAUUAAUCUGUAUAUGCAAUGGUAUGAUGAGUGCUCCGUUUAUUAAUGAUUCUAGACUUCCACAUUUUGACUGCAAAUGGGAUUUCAUCUACAUAUUGUUUACAUGGAAAUUUUUUCCAAAGUUAAUGCACAUGACUUCCAUACACAUCAGUAAUAUCCAAAAAGUUUCAUAAAAAUUAAAUGGUGCAUUUAAAAAGUCUGAGCUCUUCAUUUUCCAUUUCAAAAUGUGGUUUCCGUCACCAGACAUUUUACAAUGCCUGUCUAUGCUAUGCUGUUUAAACUGUAUUUCUAUAGAGUUUAAGCCAUAGUAGUGAACUUUCUUACUAAAGAUGCAAGGUUUACAGGAGUAAAACUUUCCCUAACAAACAGCAUUUUUAGUGCAAUUGCAAUUUUUGUGGUUGAGGCAGGUUUUUUUUUUUUUUUUUUCUCUAUCUAAAUGCUAAAAUAUUAAUCAUUUUUUGGUUUAGUCAUUAAUUUCUUCAAUAUUAAUUGUAUUACCUAUAAUUUAGAAGAAUAUUCUAUUUGGUACAAAGAGGUCUAAAAAACAGCAGUAAAAUGCCUGCUUGAAACUAAGGUCAUUCUCUAACUGUUUUGCUGUAAUUUGGUAAAAUUAUCCACUUGGAAUAUUUCUUCAAAGAAGCUGGUUGGAGGGGCAGGAAACAGAUCCUAGAGUAUGAUAUUACUGGCUCUCAAACUCCACUAUUUCCAGUUUUACUCCUCAGGAAAACUGAAGUUAUUUACCUAUUCAAAAAGCACACAAUGUAAUUAAGAGUGUAAUAAUAAAUUAAUUUUAGACAUGGACACAUAAUGUCUGACAUUAUGAGAGAGAGAUAUAUAGAAAAUAAAGAUAGCUUCAGAGGAAGAGUAGUGUUAAUCAUUACUGAUUAUCACCCCAGGGACUGAUGACUGACCAUUAGCAAGGAGGCACUGAGGAGGCCAGCUGGGGAGAGCGUGUGCAGGUUUGGUAGACAAAAAAAAAAAAAAAAAAAAAAAAAGAGAUAACCCCUGUGAGAUCAAGUCAGCCUUUCUCACAUGCAGUAGCUGGUACAAACAAACUUGUGUUCUUGCUGUUUAUAAGCAAUCCUCACUUCAGGCCCAUUAAGGAAAACACAGUCUGUUUAGCACCACACUCCCAGUCAAAGCCCAAAGAGAUCUCACUGACUAAGGGGCUCUGUGCUAGCGACCUAACCAAAUGCAGGUUUUCAUUCUUGUGUUAGCCAGAAGUUUGGUAGCUGAGAAUAGUCAGCUCAUAAUGCAUUUUGCAUUCAAUCCCUUCACCCUUCUUCUUGGCUGUACCUUGGGGACAGAGAGGAACUUGAGUGGAAAUAAUGCUGUUGCAUGUAUCUGGGGCUAAGCUGAGAAACCUUUUUGUGCCUGAAGUAUUCUGUAAAUGUCAACAGCAUCUGUGGCAGAGAGCAUGACCUCCAGCCACCGAGUGGCUCCAAGCUAGGAAAACAGCUACUUCCAGAGAGCAACUCAGCCUUUGGGAAGGCUGAACUCUGAAAAGUUAUUUACUCUGAACAUAACUUUCUGAUGAUAAUAUGACAUCUCAAGAUGACUACACCCCAAAUUUACAUGCCAGUACCUAAAGUAUGUGGUCUGUGAAUCACUAAAUUAAGCUGCACGUGUUAGCAAAAGAAUGAGGAAGUAUUAUUCAACCUUGCAUAGAGAUUUUUUUAGUCUAUGCACAUUAACAAGUCUUUGGAGUUGAAGACUCCAGGAGACUUUACUUGUGCUGUUUUCAACAUCUUCCUCUUUGAUCCCUUCCCAUGUAGAGCAGCAGCAGCUGUCAAAAUGUGUGGGUUUACUGCUGACAGAGUCACUCUGGAGUAAAUAUCUGCCCAUACCUGACACCCACACUCCACUUCAUCUGGAGGUGGUGAGUUGCUUUGGUUUCCUUCUGUUUUGGCUUGUUUAGUUGACAAGUAUCAGAUCAGUCAUUCACCAGACAGAAACUCUGCUACUAAUAUACCUCCAAAACAAAUUCAGAAGCUCAGCCAGGCCACUCUUGUUUUCCUGGCUUGAUGUUGUCCUGUUCUCUGUUGCUGAUGAGCGAGUGACUGAUACCAAUGGAUGUGAAUAUGCCCAGGUGGCAAAUUAACGAUCAUUGCUUCUCUUCCUGACACCAGCUGAUUAAUUCUUGUACUUCUGAGCCAAGCUUUGCUUUCUUGACAGUUUGUUUAGCAGAGAAUGAACAGUUAGCUGUUGGUGCUGAUUCAUUCCUGCUCACCUGUUAUUUCUCAAGCUGUCAGUCGUGAUUCCAAAUGCAACUCUUCAGAUUUUUACUACUGAGCAGCUCCACUUGCUAAGUAGCAAAUAAAUUAUCCAUAGUGUUAUGUCUCAUUACCUAACCAACUGUUAUAACCCAUUCUGACCUUUGUUAGUACAAAGCCUUAUUGGGACAACUCCCAAGAUGAAUGGCCCAAGGAGUAAAUGUUAUGAAACUGCACUUUGUGAACACAUGGCUCCCUGAGAUAAUGCUUCUAUAAAUCUCUUUGAUGGUGGGGUGCCUUAGCUAUGCCAGCACAAUACAGCAAAAGGGUGCACAAGGGUGGGAAUGAACAGCAGGAGGGGAAAACAGGGACUCUCCAACCUUGUUUGAGCAGCACAGUUGCUGUGUGCUUAGCCAUGACCUAAAUUCAGCACUCAAAUACUCCAUAGUAAGAGGUGGAAACAACAUUCUGUAAAAGAAUGUAAGUUUUCAAAAAUUUGCUUCCCAGCAGACUUGAUUUUAAGGUGUAAUGAAACCUAGCCACAUUUUUUUUUUUUAAUGACAACUGGUGUGGUGGUUCCAAUUUCAAACGAUAUUAGCAGUUUUGAAAGGCUGAAAAGAAUGGGAAAGCUAUGGGAAAGCUCCCAUUUGGCUUUUUUCAUAAAGCAUGACAUAGUCCAUCUCCAGACUCUUACAACAUUUGGAUCAUUAUCUGUAUAACCCUUGUCUUUUUUCCAUAAUUCUGCAUGCUUGUAUCUGAGUGGUUGAUUAUUUAUACUUCAACAUUUAGGUUUGUGUCUUCCAUCCUAAAUUGUAUCUUAUCUUUUUCAGAUUACUUAUUGAAUUUGUAAAGAAUAUUCUAAUUUAUAGUCCUGCCUUUCAGCGUGCUGGGAGCUCUUCUCCAUCUUGUAAGACUUUAAUAAUUUUAUUCUAACUUCCAAUUCUAGAUGUUAGGG